AGUAAUAGACGUUUCUUCAGUGGAUCAGGCAGAACUAGUUAGUUCAUCCGGUGUAGUAGUCAGAUAUAUACGACUUUCGAAGGUAGAAAGCGAAACCGACGAUACUUAUUUUGGAAUCUUUAUUGUUCCAAGUGAGGUUUUUUCUGUAAGUCUCCAAGCUAGCGAUGAAGGUGGUAACAUUAUACGACGUCUACAACCAACUGCUGUAAGACCAGAAACGUUUCAGCUGGUGCAUUUAUCAAGUGAUACAGAAGAAUUGAUUGCCGGAUCAUCUAUCGUUACCAAAUUCAGACUAAUCAAUACAGGACCACGAAAGCUGUUCAAUAUAUCCGACUCCAUUACUGGAGGAGGCACCUCUAUUUCCUCAAGUAUAAGUCCGUCAUCUGUUUAUGCUUCAGCUUCAAGUGAAGGAAACAUCACCUAUACUUUGUAUGCCUCAUCAGCGGCUCAAAUAGGAACUCCUAUAACUGUUACAGUGAGAGCCGAGGACACUUCCACUGGAUCAUUUAACUAUGUUGUAUUCUCGACAUCUGUUGAUGGUGCAUCGACGCUGGUG